rnacentral:rRNA from 1 species
AUAGCGUAUAUUUAAGUUGUUGCAGUUAAAAAGCUCGUAGUUCGACUUUGGGCCGGGUCGGAUGGUCUGCCUAACGGUAUGUACUGUCUGGCUGGGCCUUACCUCUUGGUGAGCCGGCAUGCCCUUCACUGGGUGUGUUGGGGAACCAGGACUUUUACCUUGAGAAAAUUAGAGUGUUCAAAGCAGGCUUAUGCUCGAAUACAUUAGCAUGGAAUAAUAAAAUAGGACGUGCGGUUCUAUUUUGUUGGUUUCUAGAGUCGCCGUAAUGAUUAAUAGGGAUAGUUGGGGGCAUUAGUAUUCAGUUGCUAGAGGUGAAAUUCUUGGAUUUACUGAAGACUAACUACUG